GACGAACGCUGGCGGCGUGCUUAACACAUGCAAGUCGAACGGAAAGGCCCUGCUUUUGUGGGGUGCUCGAGUGGCGAACGGGUGAGUAACACGUGAGUAACCUGCCCUUGACUUUGGGAUAACUUCAGGAAACUGGGGCUAAUACCGGAUAGGAGCUCCUGCUGCAUGGUGGGGGUUGGAAAGUUUCGGCGGUUGGGGAUGGACUCGCGGCUUAUCAGCUCGUUGGUGGGGUAGUGGCUUGCCAAGGCUUUGACGGGUAGCCGGCCUGAGAGGGUGACCGGCCACCUUGGGACUGAGAUACGGCCCAGACUCCUACGGGAGGCAGGAGUGGGGAAGAUUGCACAAUGGGCGGAAGCCUGAUGCAGCAACGCCGCGUGCGGGAUGACGGCCUUCGGGUUGUAAACCGCUUUCGCCUGUGACGAAGCGUGAGUGACGGUAAUGGGGAAAGAAGCACCGGCUAACUACGU
rnacentral:rRNA from 1 species